UUUGGAGGGCAAAGUCUGGUGCCAGCAGCCGCGGUAAUUCCAGCUCCAAUAGCGUAUAUUAAAGUUGUUGCAGUUAAAAAGCUUGUAGUUGAAUUUCGGGGUUAGUAGGUUGGUCAUGCCUCUGGUAUGUACUGGUCUCACUGAUUCCUCCUUCCUGACGAACCUUAAUGUCUCGAUUAAUUUG
rnacentral:rRNA from 1 species